rnacentral:rRNA from 1 species
AGAGUUUGGUCCUGGCUCAGGAUGAACGCUAGCGGCAGGCUUAACACAUGCAAGUCGAGGGGUAACAGGGAAAAGCUUGCUUUUUUGCUGACGACCGGCGAACGGGUGCGUAACGCGUAUAGAAUCUGCCUUGUACAGGAGGAUAGCCUUUAGAAAUGAAGAUUAAUACUCCAUAAUGUAGAGUAGUGGCAUCGCUAUUUUAUUAAAGAUUUAUUGGUACAAGAUGACUAUGCGUCCUAUUAGCUAGAUGGUAAGGUAACGGCUUACCAUGGCGACGAUAGGUAGGGGGUCUGAGAGGAUUAUCCCCCACACUGGUACUGAGACACGGACCAGACUCCUACGGGAGGCAGCAGUGAGGAAUAUUGGUCAAUGGAGGCAACUCUGAACCAGCCAUGCCGCGUGCAGGAAGACUGCCCUAUGGGUUGUAAACUGCUUUUAUACAGGAAGAAACAGAUCUACGUGUAGGUCCUUGACGGUACUGUAAGAAUAAGCACCGGCUAACUCCGUGCCAGCAGCCGCGGUAAUAC